rnacentral:rRNA from 1 species
UUAAUUGUAAAUUUUAAUUCAAAAUUAAUAAUAGUUAAGUUCUUUAAAUUUAAAAAUUUUGGCGGUAUUUUAGUCUUUUCAGAGGAACCUGUUCUAUAAUUGAUAAUCCACGAUUAGAAAAACUUUAAUUAAAUUUGUAUAUCAUCGUAUAAUAAAUAUAUUAAAAGAUAAUAUUAGUAUUUUAUAAAAUAAUAAUUCAGAUCAAGGUGCAGUUUAUAUUAAAGAAGAAAUGGGUUACAUUAUUAAUUAAAUUUUAAUAAUAAUUUUUAAUAUUUAUUUUGAGAAUGGAUUUGAAAGUAAUUAAUAUAAAUAUAUUAUUAAUGAUUAAAGCUCUAAAAUAUGU